rnacentral:rRNA from 1 species
UCCAGACUCCUACGGGAGGCAGCAGUGGGGGAUAUUGCACAAUGGGGGGAACCCUGAUGCAGCGACGCCGCGUGGGUGAAGGAGCGUUUCGGCGCGUAAAGCCCUAUCGGCAGGGAAGAAGGAGGACGGUACCUGACUAAGAAGCCCCGGCUAACUACGUGCCAGCAGCCGCGGUAAUACGGAGGAUGCGAGCGUUAUCCGGAUUUAUUGGGUUUAAAGGGUGCGUAGGCGGCAUUAUAAGUUAGUGGUAAAAUAUUGGGGCUUCACCUCACUACGCCAUUAAUACUGUAGAGCUAGAGAACAGACGAGGUAGGCGGAAUAAGUUAAGUAGCGGUGAAAUGCAUAGAUAUAACUUAGAACACCGAUAGCGAAGGCAGCUUACCAGACUGAGUCUGACGCUGAUGCACGAGAGCAUGGGUAGCGAACAGGAUUAGAUACCCCUGUAACC